AGAUGUUGAAGAAAAAAGAAUAGAAGAUUUAGAAACUUCGGGGACUCACCAUGGUGUUUGGUAGUUGAAGACGAGAGUCACAAACUCAGAGAAUAAGAGAACUUUGGUUCACUUGGUUAGUGAAAUUUAAAUCAGAAAGGAAUGUGGAGGGAGAUAGUGUGACGUAAGUGUAUUAUUUAUAGAACGACUAACAUUUCUUUUGGUUAAAAAUCUUUUCAUGCUGUUAGUCUCCAAUCACUAUUGGUCACGAAAGAACCCACUAGUUCCUAAAUCAAUC
rnacentral:lncRNA from 1 species